rnacentral:rRNA from 1 species
UGAGGAAUAUUGGUCAAUGGGCGGAAGCCUGAAACCAGCCAAGUCGCGUGAGGGAAUAAGGCCCUACGGGUCGUAAACCUCUUUUGCCGGGGAGCAAGGGCGGGGACGUGUCCCGGCCCGGAGAGUACCCGGAGAAAAAGCAUCGGCUAACUCCGUGCC